GGGGGGACGGAGAAGGCUAGGUGGGCCUGGCGACGGUUGUCCAGGUUCAAGUGCGUAGGCUUAAGAGUUAGGUAAACCGGCUCUUUUUAAGGCUGAGACACGACGUCGAGCACCUACGGGUGUGAAGUCAUUGAUGCCAUGCUUCCAGGAAAAGCCUCUAAGCUUCAGAUUGUAAGGAAUCGUACCCCAAACCGACACAGGUGGUCGGGUAGAG
rnacentral:rRNA from 1 species